rnacentral:rRNA from 1 species
UACGAAGGGGGCUAGCGUUGUUCGGAAUCACUGGGCGUAAAGCGCGCGCAGGCGGAUCGUUAAGUCAGGGGUGAAAUCCCGAGGCUCAACCUCGGAACUGCCUCUGAUACUGGCGAUCUUUGAGUCCGGGAGAGGUGAGUGGAACUCCGAGUGUAGAGGUGAAAUUCGUAGAUAUUCGGAAGAACACCAGUGGCGAAGGCGGCUCACUGGCCCGGUACUGACGCUCAAGUGCGAAAGCGUGGGGAGCAAACAGG